UUCCUCCUCCAUGUCCCUCACCUUUGGCCCCUCAGCCCCGUGAACUUAUCACGAUAGAGGAGGAGAGCGAGAGGCUGACCAGAGAGCUCAGAGAGGUGUCCAGGAACAGAGACAGACUCCGGAAUCAACUGAACCAGCUCUGUCAGUACAGAGCAGUUUGACCAAAACGCAUGCUCUCACCACCUCACAGGCACAGCCACCUGCACUCGAGGGCCAUGGCCUCUUUGAUAAUCGGCAAGAUAUGCGCCUCAGUUUCAUUGCUGGAGUGGUUCAUCCCUGGAAGGUGCCUUCGUUUGAACGGCUGCUGUGGCGAGCGUGUCGUGGCUACAUCAUUGUAGAGUUCCGAGAGAUGGACGAACUGCUGGAGCACCCGGACACGGUAUACAUUGAAGAGAUUAGAUCUGAUGUG